rnacentral:rRNA from 1 species
CAGUCGCCGCGGGAAUACGAAGGGUGCAAGCGUUACUCGGAAUUACUGGGCGUAAAGCGUGCGUAGGUGGUGGUUUAAGUCCGUUGUGAAAGCCCUGGGCUCAACCUGGGAAUUGCAGUGGAUACUGGGUCACUAGAGUGUGGUAGAGGAUGGUGGAAUUCCCGGUGUAGCGGUGUAAUGCGUAGAGAUCGGGAGGAACAUCAGUGGCGAAGGCGGCCAUCUGGGACAACACUGACGCUGAGGCACGAAAGCGUGGGGAGCAAACAGGAUUAGAUACCCCAGUAGUCCCUGUCUCUUAUAC